AAAAAAGACAAACUCCGGUUUCCGUAUCCAACGUUUGACCGUCCGUCUUAUUUAAAAAAGUUAUAAAAAAAUUAAAAAGAUAAGUCACGCAUAAAGCAUUAAUCAUAUUUUAUCAUCUAACAACAAUGAAAAUACUAAUUAUAAAAAAAAUUCAUAUAAAAUGGACAAUCAAAUAUUGGCACGGAAACCAGGGUUUGACUUUUU
rfam:Oryza nivara chromosome 10, whole genome shotgun sequence.